UCCCGCUUAGAGUUACCAGGAUUCUGCGGUUGGUUGGAAAUCUGUGGUGCCUUUAUAGAAGCAUCCUCCAAUUUCUGCCUUCAUCUUUACCCAGACUCAUGCCUGUCUGAAUCCCCCUGCCCCGCCAUUUUCAUAGUGUACAUGUCAGAGUAGAUGACCACACUGCUCUGGUGCUCAACCUGUUAGAAAUGUCAAUAGCUUUGCUUCAAAUAUGCCUGUGCUCCAAGGUUCUGGGAAUUGGGACUUCAGCACAUGAGUUCUUGGAAGCCACAAUUCAGCCCAUCAAAGAAAGCUAGAGAAGCAAGGAAGCAUUAAGAGCUUCCAGCUUCCUCCUAUUUAAAGGCAGAGGAAGAUCAAAUGCUUCCAAAACACCUAACACCACAGUUAACAAGUCAAUUGGUGCCCUGUUUGGGGAAGGGCAGGCCACUGUGCCAAGAGCCACGAAGAGAAAUGAGACAGACAGCGCAUCUGUCUUAACCGUGAGGUGGAUGGCUGAAAAAUAUAAUGCUCCAGCAGAACCCACUCUCUGUCAAGGAAAACUGGUGCUUUGUGGCUGAAGGAAGAUGUGUUCAGGAUGGUGCAAGUAUAACUUACUGGGGACCUACAGACAGCGCGGUCCUAGAGGAAGCAUAGCCAAAUACAUCUGAAGUCGUUUCAGCACAGAAAUCUAACAUUGAGGCUUCAGUGACUUCAGCUUCUAUCAACUAAAACCCCUGGCUCCAGUCAUACAGCCACAAGAAAAGAACCCAGCUAACAUCUGGAGGCGAGAAUUCUUCUCAGAUGUGUUUCAAUUGAAGAAGCCCUUAAGGACGAUCAGGAGGAGAUUAAUGGUGAUUGCAUCUCCAGAGCCUGUUUGUUCCGUAAUGAACUUGGCACUACCUCAACGGCAGCUAGAUGUCAAGGAACAUGGAAGGGACCGGAGGUGGAAGAAGAGGAAGAGGAGGGCAGCCCUGACAGAGAACACAAGCUUAACCUCAGGGUGAUAGUUGGAAAGCCACUCACUCACAUUGGUAGGCAGAAGAUCUGAGCCUGUUCUGGCCCUUACACUUUAAAUAAUAUGCUGUUUACUAGUGGCAGCUGGGUAUAUCUGCCUAUAUGACAGGUAGGCAUUCAUGUGAAAAUUCCAAGUAACUUUUUGUCCUCUUUGACUUGGUUUAAUAAAAGAUUUUAUUCCA